AGUGAAGCGGGAUGAGCUCAAAUUUAAAAUCUGGCUGGUUUACUAGUCCGAAUUGUAGUUUAUAGAAGCGUUUUCGGUGGCAGCCUGGGUAUAAAUCCUUUGGAAUAGGGUAUCAUAGAGGGUGAGAAUCCCGUCUUUGACUCAGUGCAUGCUACUAUGUGAUACGUUUUCAAAGAGUCGAGUUGUUUGGGAAUGCAGCUCAAAAUGGGUGGUAAAUUUCAUCUAAGGCUAAAUAUUGGCGAGAGACCGAUAGCGAACAAGUACCGUGAGGGAAAGAUGAAAAGAACUUUGAAAAGAGAGUUAAACAGUGCGUGAAAUUGUUGAAAGGGAAACGUUUGACACCAGUUAUGCGGGUGGAAAAUCAGUCUUUUGCAGUGGGGAGUUGUGGGCGUUCAGACCGCAAGGCUGGCGUUUGCUUCAUCUUUGCUGUAAGUGAUGCACUUUUUCAUUUGCAGGUCAACAUCAGUUUGCUUUGCUGGACAAAACCCCAAGGGAAGGUGGCAGCUUAGGCUGUGUUAUAGCCCUGGGGCGAUACAGUGGAGUGGACUGAGGUUUUCGCAGUGUGUGCUCUCGGGCAAGGCUGACUGGGUGCUAUGGGAUCGUUCGGUGUACAAUGCAUGCAUUUUGCGCCGUGUCUUUUUCAUACUCGCUCAACUCGGCUCUUCCACACUUAGGAUGUUGACUUAAUGGUUUUAAACGACCCGUCUUGAAACACGGACCAAGGAGUCUAACAUAUAUGCAAGUGUUUGGGUGGCAAACCCAUGCGCGUAAUGAAAGUGAACGUAGGUGCGAUCCGCAAGGUGCAGCAUCGACCGAUCUUGAUAUUUUUGGAUAGAUUUGAGUAAGAGCAUAUAUGCUGGGACCCGAAAGAUGGUGAACUAUGCCUGAAUAGGGUGAAGCCAGAGGAAACUCUGGUGGAGGCUCGUAGCGAUUCUGACGUGCAAAUCGAUCGUCAAAUUUGGGUAUAGGGGCGAAAGACUAAUCGAAACCAUCUAGUAGCUGGUUCCUGCC
rnacentral:rRNA from 1 species